rnacentral:lncRNA from 1 species
CGAUGACCUUGGGACGACGUGAAAAAGAAAAGAAGAAAAGAAGGAAGAAAGAGGAAAGGAAAAUGAAGAAGUUCGACAGACAACUAUUCAAUGCAAGAUGCAGACAAGGUAACCAAAUCUUCUUUUCAUUUAACAAGAUAUACGUUACAGGACCCGGUGGGUCAAGAAAAAGAUAUACAUCAUCGCAAGCCUCGCGAGCACGGCUUGGAAGGGGUAUACCGAAAACCGCUCCGAGCUGCAAACUCCUGU